GACGAACGCUGGCGGCGUGCCUAAUACAUGCAAGUCGAACGCAGUGGGGACGUGUGAUUAACACGUGGGUAACCUCCCCAUCAGAGGGGAUAACACUUGGAAACCGGUGCUACACCGAUACUCCUGCCUGGACCCGCGGUGCAUUAGCUCGUUGGUGAGGUAACGGCUCACCACGGCCACGAUGCAUAGCCGACCUGAGAGUGUGACCGGCCACACGGGGACUGAGAAACGGCCCAGACUCCUACGGGAGGCAGCAGUAGGGAAUCUUGGGCAAUGGACGAAAGUCUGACCGAGCAACGCCGCGUGAGUGAAGAAGGUUUUCGGAUCGUAAAACUCUGUUGUUAGAGAAGCGGUAUCUAACCAGAAAGCCACGGCUAACUACGUGCCAGCAGCCGCGGUAAUAC
rnacentral:rRNA from 1 species